AGAAAACAAGGAGGUGACAGAACUUAGCGGUCCUCUUCGUGUGUCCCCCCCCCCCAGCACCUGCCCUGUGGCUCAGUCCAUGUGAGUAGCAUGUAAGUGAAAACCAUGCAGACCAGUCAUUUUCCUCUCUUCAUCUCAGUCACCAUUGCCCACAGGGGAGGGAGAAGAAUAACGUUAUGGGAUAGACCAGGGCUGCAGGCCCAGUGUACCUGAAGGAGCGUCUCCACCCCCCAUCGUUCUGCCCAGACACUGAGGUCCAGCGCCGAGGGCCUUCUGGCAGUUCCCUCAGUGCAAGAAGUGAGGAUACAGUGGUACCUCGGGUUACAUACACUUCAGGUUACAUACGCUUCAGGUUACAGACUCCACUAACCCAGAAAUAGUGCUUCAGGUUAAGAACUUUGCUUCAGGAUGAGAACAGAAAUUGUGCUCUGGCGGCACGGUGGCAGCAGGAGGCCCCAUUAGCUAAAGUGGUGCUUCAGGUUAAGAACAGUUUCAGGUUAAGUACGGACCUCCGGAACGAAUUAAGUACUUAACCUGAGGUACCACUGUAUAGGGAACCAGGCAGAGGGCCUUCUUGGUAGUGGCAAGCGCCCUGUGGAACACCCUCCCACCAGAUGUUAAGGAAAUAAACAACUACCUGAUUUUUAGAAGACACCUGCUUAGGGAAGUUUUUAAUGUUUGAUGUUUUAUCAUGUUUUUAAUAUUCUGUUGGGAGCUGCCCAUGGUGGCUAGGGAGGCCUGGCCAGAUGGGUGGGGUAUAAGUAAUAAGUUGUUUCGCACUCUGCCUCAGUCCCUGGCACCUAGAGCAUGCUCACUGACCGGCUGAUGAUGGGGAAUUCUCCUCGGCUGCCGGUAUUGAGGGGCGGUCUUCCCGCCAAAGAGGACAAAUUUGAAUGGGCCAAUCAGAGGCCCUGCUUGGAGGGUGGUGACUCGCUGGCUGGCCGGGGAUUGGCUGUUACCCUGCUUGGCAGUGAGGCUUAAAAGGCCAGCUGUGCAUGGCUUCCAACAUUUGUAUGCCCCACCUCCUUCCCAAACCUGGGCAAGUGAGAAGGAGGCUUCUAGGACUCUGUUGGAGCCCUCACAUCUCCUUCCCAAAGUCCAGCGCUUCCUAGCUGUCCCUGUGGGGGGGUACCGGUUGCACUUCCCUAAAUCCGCCUGUUUCCCAACAGCUUCUAUUGAAAACACUUUGAAACACACUUCGCAGGGAGAAGAUGGCGUCUGCCACCAGAGAAGGACUUGUGGGUUGAUUCGGCAUAAACACCAGCGUGUGAGGACAUACUGCAAACAAUAGACUUACCAGCUGCAAAAAAAAAAAAAAAGGAAAGGCAUACAAAUUUCACACAGAAGCACAUUAUUGCUUACUUCAACUCGCCUGUGGAAACAACUCAGAGGCCAUGAAAGAAGGAAGGAUAACAACAGGAAGAUUUAAAGAAGGAACUAUUGGAAACUCAAGGCAGUAGAGACAUAAGAUGAUCAGAGCCCCACCGAACUUGAAGCAUGGGAAGCCCCAACAAAAAUUUAUAAUUUGGCAG